rnacentral:rRNA from 1 species
GAUGAACGCUGGCGGCGUGCCUAAUACAUGCAAGUCGAGCGAACGGACGAGAAGCUUGCUUCUCUGAUGUUAGCGGCGGACGGGUGAGUAACACGUGGAUAACCUACCUAUAAGACUGGGAUAACUUCGGGAAACCGGAGCUAAUACCGGAUAAUAUUUUGAACCGCAUGGUUCAAAAGUGAAAGACGGUCUUGCUGUCACUUAUAGAUGGAUCCGCGCUGCAUUAGCUAGUUGGUAAGGUAACGGCUUACCAAGGCAACGAUGCAUAGCCGACCUGAGAGGGUGAUCGGCCACACUGGAACUGAGACACGGUCCAGACUCCUACGGGAGGCAGCAGUAGGGAAUCUUCCGCAAUGGGCGAAAGCCUGACGGAGCAACGCCGCGUGAGUGAUGAAGGUCUUCGGAUCGUAAAACUCUGUUAUUAGGGAAGAACAUAUGUGUAAGUAACUGUGCACAUCUUGACGGUACCUAAUCAGAAGCCACGGCUAACUACGUG